GAGCCGGCCGGACAGUCGCUGCGUCCUUGUGGCGUGGAGGAAAGUCCGGGCUUCACAGGGCAGGGUGCCAGGUAACGCCUGGGGGGCGCGAGCCCACGGAAAGUGCCACAGAAAAUAUACCGCCUAAGCACGUCAGUGCCGGCAAGGUUGAAAUGGUGCGGUAAGAGCGCACCGCACCUCUGGUAACAGAGGUGGCAGGGUAAACCCCACCUGAAGCAAGACCGAAUAGAGGAACAGUGCCCUUCGGGGCCGACAUGUGGCCCGCAUGGUUCCCGGGUAGGUCGCAUGAGGUUACCGGUGACGGUAAUCCCAGAUGAAUGGCUGUUCACGACAGAACCCGGCUUACAGGCCGGCUCCA
rnacentral:RNase_P_RNA from 1 species